AAUCGGUCGAUUCUUGGUGCUGUUAGUAGCGUAUUUCAGGUGUGUUUCUGAAACUACUAUAGUUAGGGAUUGUUUUGAUGUUGAAAUUCACGGAUUUCUGUCAAUUCUGGUGUGGCCCUGUUUUGCAAUUUUUGUUCUGUGUUUGUAAACUGACUCAUUUUAGUUAUUGGGUUAUCCGACACUCGUUUAAGCCUCUGUAAGUGUGUUUGGAAUACUGUUACUGAUCGAGGG
rnacentral:lncRNA from 1 species